rfam:Human gut metagenome DNA, contig sequence: F2-V_005253.
ACGGAUACCUUGACGGGCCGCACCGCAAAGCGACCCGAUCCCACCGCCCC